rnacentral:rRNA from 1 species
CAUAUUUAAUAGAUUUUAUUAUUAAUACAACCUGCUCAAUGAAAUUUUAAAUAGCCGCAGUUCAUACUGUGCUAAGGUAGCAUAAUCACUUGUCUUUUAAUUAAAGACUAGAAUGAAAGGUCACACAUUUAAAUUUUUAUUAUAAAUUUCAAUUAAAAACUUAUUAUAAAUGUAAAAAAACAUUUAUAUCUUAGAAAGACGACAAGACCCUAUCGAACUUUACUGAUGUUUAACUGGGGCAGUUAAUUAAAUAUAAUUUUAAUAAUAUAAUUUAAAAAAAUUGACCUAAUCUAAUUAAUUAUAUGAUCAAGUUACCGUAGGGAUAACAGCGUAAUAAUCUUUUAUAGAUCUUAUAAAAAAGAAAGAUUGCGACCUCGAUGUUGAAUUAAUUAACCUAUUAAACGCAAAAGUUUAAUAAGAAAGUCUGUUCGACUUUUAAAUGAUUACGUGAUCUA